rnacentral:rRNA from 1 species
GACGAACGCUGGCGGCGUGCUUAACACAUGCAAGUCGAACGGACUACUUUGCUUCGGUAAGGUGGUUAGUGGCGAACGGGUGAGUAACGCGUAGACAACCUACCUCUUAGAUGGGGACAACAUCGCGAAAGCGGUGCUAAUACCGAAUGAAGUGACUUUCCUGCAUGGGAGAGAUACUAAAGGUGGCCUCUAUUUAUAAGCUACCACUGAGAGAUGGGUCUGCGUCUGAUUAGCUAGUUGGCGGGGUAACGGCCCACCAAGGCGACGAUCAGUAGCCGGUCUGAGAGGAUGAACGGCCACAUUAGGACUGAGACACGGCACAAACUCCUACGGGAGGCAGCAGUGGGGAAUCUGCCGCAAUGGACGAAAGUCUGACGGAGCAACGCCGCGUGAGUGAAGAAGGUUUUCGGAUCGUAAAGCUCUGUUGUUUGAGACGAAUGUGCCUGUUUCGAAUAGGGAUAGGUAAUGACGGUAUUAAACGAGAAAGCCACGGCUAACUACGUGCCAGCCGCCGCGGUAA